rnacentral:rRNA from 1 species
UACGUAGGGUGCGAGCGUUAAUCGGAAUUACUGGGCGUAAAGCGUGCGCAGGCGGUGAUGUAAGACCGAUGUGAAAUCCCCGGGCUUAACCUGGGAACUGCACUGGUGACUGCAUUGCUGGAGUAUGGCAGAGGGGGGUGGAAUUCCACGUGUAGCAGUGAAAUGCGUAGAGAUGUGGAGGAACACCGAUGGCGAAGGCAGCCCCCUGGGCCAAUACUGACGCUUAUGCACGAAAGCGUGGGGAGCAAACAGG